rnacentral:misc_RNA from 1 species
UCCUGGUUUCCCAGGCAGUCCCAUCAGAGUGCCUCCUCACGGAGUAGCAACUGAUAGCAAGGGUUGCGCUCGUUAUAGGACUUAACCCAACAUCUCACGACACGAGCUGACGACAGCCAUGCAACACCUGUGAUUCUGUCCAAGGUAAACCUUGGAAAACUCUAUUUCUAGAGCUGUCAGAAACAUGUCAAGCCUAGGUAAGGUUCCUCGCGUAGUGUCGAAUUAAACCACAUGUUCCACCGCUUGUGCGGACCCCCGUCAAUUCCUUUGAGUUUUAAUCUUGCGACCGUAAUCCCCAGGCGGAUCACUUAACGCGUUAGCUACGACACUGAUUCUGCUAAGCAGAACCAACGUCUAGUGAUCAUCGUUUACGGCGUGGACUAC